rnacentral:lncRNA from 1 species
ACUAAAUGACGACAGACACAGACAGCCAAGGUGCUGGUGUUUAUGAUGGUGUGCAUUAGUGUAAUGGUUAACAAGAAACGUCGUCGUUAUGAAGUUUUUUUUUCUCUAAAAAUGUCUCAAAUCAGUGAGUGUUGUAAAUAAUUAGGUGUGGAGCCCACAUGUUCCUUAGGUUUUGCCUACAAAAGGGUUCAUCCCUUCAUUGUAAUUGAGAAACACAGAAAUAUGAAUACAGAAGAGGAACCAAUCCAAGUUUUCCUCUGAUUCUAAAUUCUCUCCAAUUCCUCUUAAUUUAUAACACGUUAUCAGCACGAAUUCGCUCAAACAAUAUCAGCUGAAUUAUCUGAUGAAAUCCAGAUCUCUCAUUCCAUCUCCCUCUCUCUCUGCGCCAAUCAGAGUCAACAAAUUUAAUUUCAAACACCCAAACCAGACUUUUACAACUCUAAGUUUCUGAGCUCUGCUGCUACUGCUUGGAGCAUCAGAGAUUUUUGCAAGGCCAGAAAUGACAAAGGGUUUACCAACGGCCUCGGCAUGCCCAUGGUAGCCAAAUCAGACCUCUCCCAACUAGCCCUUUCUUGCUUGGCACUCUCCAAACUCUCUCCACAGCGCCAAAGCCAUGGGUGUGAAGCCCAGGCAAGAAGACCCUCCACCAUCCUCUGCCAGUGUAGAAACAGUAGAAGAAAUAAUGAAACUCUACAAGUCCCCGCCGCCACCGCUUCCUCCUCGGCAUGACAGGCAGAAAAGUACUCCCCGACGGAAGCGGCGACACCAAGAACCUCAAGCUACUACACCUUUUCCGAUGACCUCCGGGGGCCGUAAUUACUGAAACAAUGGCUGCUAGCAUCGCACAGAUGAUCAACUCCAAAACCUCCUCCGUAGCAUCGCACAGAGAAAAAUCAUAUUUACGAAUUUGGAUCGGAAACACGUGGUGAAGGCGUUGGAUCGUCUGGGAGUGAGAGACUGCUUUGAGCAGAUCAUAUGCUUCGAGACGAUGAACCCGAACCUGCCGAGUUCGACUCGGCCUAACGAGUUUCCGGAGGAGCUGGCCAUCUUUGGCGAGUUCCCACAACUGGUGUGUGCUUGAACAUCAAUCCUAUAUCAGAAUCUAGUGCAUGCCAAUGGUGGGCCGCCGCCAUGGAGGAACGCCGUCACUCACGACGACCCUACCACGUCCUCCAGCCAGAACUGGAUUCUGUAGGACGUCAUCGAGGCCGAGGUCCACCAUUGAUCCACGAUCGGAUCCGUUCAAGAUCUCACCGAAUUCGGAUACAAUACAAAGCCGAAAGAGAAAGAAAGAGCUCUCUCUUUCUCUCUCUCUCUCUCUCUCUCUCUUUCUCUCUCUCUCUCUCUGUCUGCAGGUUUGAAAAGUGAGGGGAAAAGAGAGAGGUGGAAUCUGAGAAAGCGGGCACGCGUGCUGCUUUUGUUUUGUCGUUUUGUAGUGAUGGAAAGUUUGGGGCUUUGAGUUUUUGAGUUGGCUAGCUGGGUACUUUCCUUCCUUUGGUGAAUUAGACGGGUGAGCUUUGGUUGAAGGGUCCCACCAUCAUGAAAGUGAAAGAAGAACAAAAACAAAGGUCCUCUGCUUCCUUAUCUUUCAAUUACUUUAGUAUUAUCCUAUACUAUUUAACUUGCUCUACAGGUGGAAAGGCAGUAGCAAGCUUGAUAUCCAUCUUUUUUUUUUUUGCACAUUUUAUACUAUAUAACUAAUAUAUCAGUAUAACAAUAUUACACUAUUUGAUCGUGGUGUUGAUAAGAACCCACAAAUAAUUGCCUUUACUUUUAUUUAAAUGUAUGGAGCAGAAUUAGUGCCCAUACAUUUAUUAUAUUUACUGUAUGGUGUAGGUUUAUUACCCAUACAGCAGUAUUUAUUUAAAAGGGUGGUGCGGAUUUAUCGUCCACGCCUUUACUUUUAUUUAAAUGUAUGGAGCAGAAUUAGUGCCCAUACAAGCACCUUUACUUUAUCGCAAAUUUACUUUUACUUAAAGUAUGAUGUGAAAUUAACCCUCAUACUUUAUGAAUUUACUUUACCGCACAUUUAAUUUUAUUUAAGAUAUGGUGCGGAAUUAACUUCCAUAUAGCAAGUAAUUUAUUUUAUCUCACAUUUACUUUUACUUAAAGUAUGAUGAGGAAUUAACCCUCAUACUUUAUGAAUUUACUUUACCGCACAUUUACUUUUACUUAAAGUAUGAUGAGGAAUUAACCCUCAUACUUUAUGAAUUUACUUUACCGCACAUUUACAUUUAUUUAAAGUAUGGUGCGGGUUUAUCGUCCAUACCAGUAAUUUAUUUAUCAGCAAUUUAUUUUAUGGAUUAAUUGUGCUGUAUGAUGAGUUUUUACAGUAUACAGAUUAGGACCAGAAGUUCCUUGAUCCUCAUCAUACAAUUACAUCAGGACUUGAAGAUCCUUGAUGAUGAUGUUAAUAUAAGAGCUGGCAGUCUCUCCGGUACUAUAUUUGUAAACAUAUGAUUGGACUUGAGGGUCCUUGAUCCCUGACAUGUAAAUAAGGACCUGGGGUUCCUUAAUGAUGUAACAGUACUGUAUUGUUUCAUAAUGCCGUACACAUGGAUGAUAACUGUACUGGCAAAUGUACUGUCCACAUGAAUAGAUACGUAUUCAUGACUUGAUGAAUAGUACCGGAUAUAUGAAUAGUGACGUAUACAUAAAUAUUAACCAUUUUGGGUAAACCAUCACUAUAUUCAAAAAGGGAACCUGCAGUCCCUUAAACUCAUGAAUGAGCAAUUAAAUGAGAUGCCAGAAGUUCCUCAAGAUAUGGACAAUUAUGUAAGGACUUGAAGUCCAGAAACAUGUACAGAAAAUUGUAAAAAUGUCCAUACCAUGAGAAUAUGUGAUUUUGGCUUGAGGUUCAAAAUCUAACAGUGUUGAGAACCUGAAGUUCCAACAAUUAAAUGGACAACUCUUGAGGUAUUAUUGCAAAUAGUGGUACGCCACAUAUUUCUUUGGCAUAAGAAAAUGAUGAAUUUAAUAAAAUUCGAUUCUGUUAUAAUCGACACCUCAAGUAAGAAAUAUAUUUUGUGAAUUCCGGUUGUUAAGAAUACACCGUGAAAUGGAUAAUAUCAAUAUAAAUCUCAAAUGAUGAAUUGAGGCUCCCCACAUAUUUUGAUAUAUCUGGGGCGGAAGCACAUGGAUUCAAAUAUAUGAGAAAUCCCGAAUUUGAGAUUGUGGGUAUAUAGUAGUUAAUGCUCUUCACUACUAUAUUGCGAUAUUAUCGUAGCUUUUACUCAAUUCAUAUUUCAUGUCCAUUUGAAAAGGGUGAAUAAAUUCUGAUAUUUGUGUUUAGCUCAGGCCAAAAGUUCCAUACGUUGAAAUAUGAAAUUUGGGAGAGUCGAUGUGGUUAUUUGAACCUAUAAGGCACAAGGUUCCAAACCGUCAUUUUGAAAAGACGUAAAAACCACAGGUGCAAGUUUAAGAAUAUGCGCAAUUAUUAUAACAGGAACAUACAACAGAUAGAUUUUUUCCACCUGCAAUGAAGGUGCAGGCCCUGUAAAAUCUAUAAAAUUACAUUAUGUUCUGGAAGCCUCUGAAGGAAGAGGACGACGCCUCUUAAGCUUAGCCACGAGCCUCUCGUGGUCUCCCAAAAUUCUUUCAUUGGAGACCUGCAGCAUGUCUAGCCUUCUCAGUGUAUCAACAGAAUACGAACUCACCAGUUUCAACAAGGCAUUAUUCUCUUCUUUAAGUUUCUCAACCUCCUGUUGAGACUCAUGAAGCAUUCUUUGGAGAGACGAAUUUUCAGUUGUUAAAAUCUGAACCUCGUUUGCUCUAGCACGCAAACGAUCAGCCAUGUUAGAAACAGAAGCAGCACUCUGAAUGCUAAAAGCCAUUGAGUCAUCAAUAGCCUAUUCCUCUGAUCUCCCUGUUAACAGCAUUUCAUCCAUUGGAGUAAUGAAAUUCCUAGCUACUAUGACAGCAGUAGCAUCAUUCAUCAUCAUAGAAUCAUUAACUGUGAGAUGACGAUUUUUGGAUACAAAGGAUGGACGCCAGACUUUUGCAUCACUGGCUGUUGUGGGAGUAUCAUUUAAAUUGAAAUAAUUUAGGCAUGAAGAAGAGGAAGCCAUUUUAAGAAGGUUUCGAAGAAAGUCUUAAGAAAACUAAAGUUUCAGAAAAUGAAGGAAGUUGAGUUGAAACGCAGUUGCUCCAAUCAAGUUUUGCAAAGGCAAUAUCUAUAGGAGGAAAUAUGGCUACAGUUUUUUCAGGAUCCCAACUUUUCGGAUCCCCAUAUUCUCUUUUUCUUUCCCAGAUUCCAAAACUUCACGUGGCCUCCAUUAAUGUUUGUCGGCACUUUCGGCGUUUUCAAAAUAUUAUUUUCGUCAAAAGCCGAUCUUGCUUUACGGAUUUCACGGAGCUAUUUUUUCAAAAGUACCCCGAGAAUCUCGCAAUUUUCCUAUGGUUAAUUUGAAAUUCACCGGUUCUACCUAUUCCUCUUAUUUGUGUAUAAAUGUGUUACUAACGAAAUUUUCUUUGCAGAAGACAUCCAGUUUUCUCCACACCUAGUGAUGCGAUAUCUAUUUGUUUUUCUUAUCAGUGAGCACUUAAUAUGCCCGAGAAGCAAGACUAUCUCUGAUCAUCCAUUCAGGAAGCGAUCCUGAUCACGUUUCCGCCACAUCAGGGAACUGUGAAGGCAACCUUAUGCUCUAAUCUCCGGAAGUUCUUCUAAACUAGAAGAAAUGAGAGCUGGUUGUUUGCUCCCACCAGCUUCCUUCCUUGAUUGCUGAGCUUGUUGUCUGCUCCCACCAGCUUCCUUCCUUGAUUGCUUACCUUCUCUUGCAAUCAAUAUCACAUUAUUUUUGCAUUUUUUCUCUUUUUAUAACUCUCUGUUCAUAAGAGAUUUUAUUUCUUUAGAAUGAACAUCUGAAGAAAGAAUCUAUGGAGUGAUCCUAACUCUGAGGGUUAUUUGUUUUUGACAUAGAAAAGAGUUGUGAUUUUGCUCUUGCAGGAUAUAACUAGAUCAGCAAGCGCUACAUUAUAUUUACUGGGCCGAUACGAGCUUGAAUGAUACUUGAGAAAAGUUUCUCCCACCUAAGGAUGUAAGCAAUACUUGUGUUAUUUUAUGCUUAUAUACUUAUUUGAUAUUUUAUCUUGAAAGGUAACCAAAUAUGGAGAUAAGUCUGUUCCAAAAGAAUGGCUUGUAUGUAUCCACGAAUUUUUAAUGCAAAUUUUACAGAUUGCAAGUUGGAUACAUUGAUAAUACACUGCACAGAUUAAAGUCUCAUAAGAACAGAAUAUGGGUAUAGCAGUGAUCAAUAUGAUGCACGCCUGUUGCGUAGCAAAUGAUGUGGAUUGAAGUCCCGAAAGGACAAUCCUUUGACAUGUCAAUAUUGAUAUUAUGCACGCCUAAUGCGUAGCAAAUUAUAUGGGUUAAAGUCCCAUAAUAUGGGUUAAGGUCCCAGAAAUUAAUUGACAUGUAUGUAUUAAUCUGUGGCAUGCCUUCAGCAUGACAAAUAUAUGGGUUCUAAAUGUUCCAACUCCCUAAAUGGAGAUUAUCCACGCCCUACUGCUAAAUAACGCUCCAAUGGAGGUUAUAAUCCACAUUCUCACAUAAUAAAAGCCCCAUGAAGUGGCUUGGGUACCCAAAAGCAAAGAAAUGCUUAUAAUUGAUGCAUGUGCAUGCACAUGAGAAUGGUGGGAUCAUGAAUUGAUGAAUGACAAUUUUUGAUCAUGAAUUGAUGAAUGACAAUUUUUGAUUUUGGAGUAGCUACUCAAAUCAUCAAUGGGCUGUGUUGAUUGGAACCACGUUCAAUUAUUAAAUGUCGACAAUAUUAUUGGCCAAAAUGGAAUGAGGUAAUUCCAUUAUAGAUGAGAAUGAACGUGAAAGAACAAACCCACAGUACGAACCCCAAAAGAUGUUAAUACUGAAAUUUAUACUUGGGUGUUCGGAAUAAAAGGGAAUAUACCUACUUUGUAUGACACACUGUUUCUGGCAGAAACAAGGAAUGUUGGGUUUUCUCCAUAUUUACAGAUUCAAUUGUGCCCCCCCUUAUUACACAAUUACGGAGACCAACAUAUUAUCUUUAAGGGUUAUUAAAUGCACGGAGCAUAUCGCCAGAAGCGAUUUCCUAAAGAUAUAUAAAUAGCUGGGUAAAAGCUAUAUAAUGUGUCAUAAAGUUUAAUCCCCUUUAGACAAAAUCCGUUUGAGAGGAUUGACAUUGCAUAAAGCAAGUCCCUAAAGGACAUGUGCUUGAAGCACAAAAUUUGUACUCAAUAUUAAUAUGCAUAAUUUACCUCAGUGAGUACAUUGAUUAUAAUGUGAUUGCAACACAUUAAAGCUUCUGCAGAAUUCAUGAAAUAUUUGCCUUGAUCGAGCAUUAUGCCAACGAGAUUCUUGCUUAUACUAAGAGAGUCUAUCCGUUGGUCCUUAAAUAUUUUUCCGGAAGUAUACUAAACCAGAUAGAGCUCAGCUCCAUCACCACCACUUUAGGAUGGCUAGUCAUAAAUUUUUCAGGGGGAGCUUAGUUUUAAUAAAGACCUUCAUACACUGUACUCUUUUUCCUUUAUCCAGGUUUUUAUCCCACUGGAUUUUUCCUGGUAAGGUUUUAACGAGGCAGUGUCGCUCAAGAUUGACUCACAGAAGCAGUGUCAACUACGAUAUUCAGAAAGUUGAUCAACAGUAUGACUUAAAGAUAUUUUGCCGAGCAUCAGGGGGAGCGUGCUAUCAAUAAAGAUCUUCAAACACUGUACUCUUUUUCCUUCGUCCAGGUUUUUAUCCCACUGGGUUUUUCCUGGCAAGGUUUUAACGAGGCAGUGUCACACGCGCGUCAAUAUACAUAGAAUUUUAUGUUACACAUGAUUAUGUACUCUUUUUCCCUUUGACCAGUUUUUGUCCCACUGGGUUUUUACUGGCAAGGUUUUUAACGAGACAUAUUCCAUAUCAUUUGUGGUCUCCAAGGGGGAGUGUUGUAAAUAAUUAGGUGUGGAGCCCACAUGUUCCUUAGGUUUUGCCUACAAAAGGGUUCAUCCCUUCAUUGUAAUUGAGAAACACAGAAAUAUGAAUACAGAAGAGGAACCAAUCCAAGUUUUCCUCUGAUUCUAAAUUCUCUCCAAUUCCUCUUAAUUUAUAACAGUGAGCUUGUAGAUGUUGACUAUUUAGGUUUCCCAUCUGAUGCCGCUGUUCAUGGAAACCAAAUCAGCAAACUAUCAUAAAUAAGCCAAAAUUUAC